rnacentral:tRNA from 1 species
GGAGAGGUGGCUGAGUGGCCGAAAGCGACGGUUUGCUAAACCGUUAGGUGGGUUACAACCUGCCUCCGGGGUUCGAAUCCCCGCCUCUCCG